rnacentral:rRNA from 1 species
GAUGAACGCUAGCGAUAGGCUUAACACAUGCAAGUCGAGGGGCGGCAUGGUCUUAGCUUGCUAAGACUGAUGGCGACCGGCGCACGGGUGCGUAACGCGUAUGCAACUUGCCUCACAGAGGGGGAUAACCCGUCGAAAGACGGACUAAUACCGCGUACACUCUAUUUUGGGCAUCCAAGGUAGAGGAAAUGAAAUUCGCUGUGAGAUAGGCAUGCGUCCCAUUAGCUAGUUGGUGAGGUAACGGCUCACCAAGGCGACGAUGGGUAGGGGAACUGAGAGGUUGAACCCCCACACUGGUACUGAGACACGGACCAGACUCCUACGGGAGGCAGCAGUGAGGAAUAUUGGUCAAUGGGCGAGAGCCUGAACCGGCCAAGUCGCGUGAAGGAUGACUGUCUUAUGGAUUGUAAACUUCUUUUGUAGGGGAAUAAAGAGGGGCACGUGUGCCCCAGUGAAUGUACCCUACGAAUAAGCAUCGGCUAACUCCGUG